UCGUUGCAGGGACCAAAAUAAAACCAUUUAAUGAGUUAAUUAAUUGUAGUUAAUUACGCCUUAACUUUUCUACUCAACGCCAGAUGUCGCUCUAAAGCAAAAUUCUACUUGACGUAAAACAUUUAUACAUCGCGGUAAUCUCGUCAGUCUUACUCCAUCAUUUUAAAAAGUAUAGACUAGUUUAUGGAUUUCUAAAGUUAUGUCAAGAUGACUGAAUGUAAUAUUGUCAACAAUAAUUGUCAAAACACGCAAUUUAAAAUAUUCAACAUUGUAAUUACAAAAUAGUAUAUUUCUAAUACGCUAUAAUUUUCUCCAAUCGAAAGGCACUCCAUUCCAUUGAUCUCAGAGAGUAUGCUCCUUGAUGAUCUUCACUAUUCAUGGGCAUUUUUAAGUUAUUCAUCGGACACUGAGGCCAUUGAAGUUUUAAGCUGGCGGCAUCAAAAUGGAGUACCUAGAAACCAUACGGCAAUAAUGAGGAUGCAUCGACAUAAGAAGAAUCGAACAUGGGCAAGAUAAAGUUCAAGAAAAAAGCAAAUAUAAUGUGUACUUGUGUGUAGUCAAAGAAAGUUGAAAAAUAAAGCAUAAUUAAUGGCCAUAGAAUACAGAACCGAUACACGAACAUUAAGACUAUUAAAUAUAGACAUAUAGGUUGAUCGUACUACUCGUACUAAUGUAUUUCUUUUGUUCAAUUAUAUUAUUGCAUUAAAGUUAGAUUCUCUAGAUAUAUAUUAUUCAUAGGUUCUGUAUUCUAUAUGAAUUGUUUUAGUGUAAUUAUUGUACUAAAUACCGUUGACCGCCUGUCAACAGUAUUUAUCUCUACAUUACUAUCACAGAAGAUUUUAGGCCCUACAGUAGUUUUUGAAUUAGUAUUUACUAUGGACAAAAUAGCGAAAUCUGAGUUUUUACCUAAAAUAUCAAUCUUUUGUGAACGUGGUGUAGAGUAUAUACCGCCUUAGACUGAAGUAGCUACGCGGGCAACGUUUUCAAAAUAGAAUCGUGUUCAUGGUCGGCCCAUGGUAAAAAUAAUUAGGUACCCGUAGACCCACUGGUGAACACUGUUUAUGAUAACACUUAAAAUAAACCCCGUGGACCCACCAGGAGAACAUAUUGGAGACACUAGAGAUAAUACACCGCUUUAAGGGCGGUCGUACACGGCAUUGACAUCUGGCGUCUAGAUGGCGGGUGGACCUCAGCGAAUUUCAAAGAAAUAUUUAUAAACAUCCAAUGACGUUCGGCUCGGAAACCAGAUCUUCAAUCUCCUGAUUCCUGUGGAGUCUCCAGGUUCCAUCCUCUCCACGUGAGGGUCCUAGGAUUUUUCGCGCUGCCAGACUCCGAUGACUCGGGCACGUAGUCCAGAUGGGUGAGGAUCGUGCAGCCUGAAGGGCGUACUCUGAAGUUUCAAAUGGCCGAAGACCGUCUAGACGUCCUAGGUAGGUCCCGCUGGAGAGAUGAAAUGCAAAAAGACCUUAGCGAACUCGGCGCCGUCGACUAGAUGGAAACUGUUUUGGACAGAGAAGCAUGGCGGUCUUUGGUGUCGGAGGCCAAGAUCCACUUCGGGUCGCUGCGCCACAGCAGUAAGUAAGUAUUUAUAAACAUAUUGUACCUUCUGUGUACCUAACCAAAAACGAGAUAUUUAAGAAAAAGUCCACCCGCUAUUCUGACGUCAGGAUUGCGGUUGGACCUAUGAAAUCUUGCAUUAUACCGCACUAAAAGUAUGCAGUUAUAUGGUACAGUCGCCAUCAGAUAUAUCGGAGUGGCCGAGGUGCUCAAAGAUAUCUAAACACGCAUUGUACCUUCAGUGUACCUCUGUAAAUAGAAAUAGAAACCGGUGUACCUCUCCCCAAAACAAGCUAGGCUAAGCUCAUGCAAGAUUUCAUAGGUCCACCCGCCAUCCUGACGUCAGGUUGGCGGGUGGACCGUUUUGUAAAAUAUCUCGUCUCGGUCUAUUAAAGGUACACUGAGGUACACAGAAGGUACAAUAUGUUUAUUAAUAUUUCUUUGAAAUUCGCUGAGGUCCACCGCCAUCCUAACGCUUACCAUAUAUCUAAGGACCGACCUUAGGGGCAAUAACGAUAGUGCUAGUUCAGAUGUGUCAUUCACAAAUUCGAGCCAAUCGUGCUGUCUAACGCAACUAGAACUCAUCAACCAAUCACGUUGUGGUACUUGUGGCGUUAGACUGCACGAUUGGCUCAAACUCGUGUGCGUAACACCGCUGUACUGGCCUCAUUCUUAUUGCCCGUAAGGCCCGUCCUCAGAUAUAUUAUGUCAAUGACACAGUCGCGAUUUAAAAAACACAUUUUCUGCUACCAAAUUGUUGAGCAUAACGUUUUCCUAUCCAUAGGUUCCAUCUGUCCAGUAGGAUCCACCAUCUCGAUCCACCAGAUUGAAGAGAUUGUUACUUAACUGAUGGAUCGAGAUAAUUAAACCUACUGAAUAGAGCGGGUCGAUUGGAUAUAACAAAGUACGCUUAUAUGAAACGCUGCUCCGGUGUGCGAGUGAGACAGUCAGGCCAAUUUGAACUUGCAUUUGACAGAAAACUGAUUGUCUCCAUCAAACGCUACCAGUUCCAUUGCCGGCCUCUUUGCUGCCUUCUAUAGUGGUUCAAUCUUACCUUGUUUAUGAAUAAAAAGGGGCGU